AUUGAACGCUGGCGGAAUGCUUUACACAUGCAAGUCGAACGGUAGAGGGGGCAACCCCUUGAGAGUGGCGAACGGGUGAGUAAUAAAUCGGAACGUGCCCAGUCGUGGGGAUAACGUAGCGAAAGUUACGCUAAUACCGCAUACGAUCUACGGAUGAAAGCGGGGGACUCGCAAGAGCCUCGCGCGAUUGGAGCGGCCGAUAUCAGAUUAGGUAGUUGGUGGGGUAAAGGCUCACCAAGCCAACGAUCUGUAGCUGGUCUGAGAGGACGACCAGCCACACUGGAACUGAGACACGGUCCAGACUCCUACGGGAGGCAGCAGUGGGGAAUUUUGGACAAUGGACGCAAGUCUGAUCCAGCCAUUCCGCGUGCAGGAUGAAGGCCCUCGGGUUGUAAACUGCUUUUGUACGGAACGAAAAGGUUUCUAUUAAUACUAGGAGCUCAUGACGGUACCGUAAGAAUAAGCACCGGCUAACUACGUGCCAGCAGCCGCGGU
rnacentral:rRNA from 1 species